rnacentral:rRNA from 1 species
AAAUGAGAGUGGCGCACGGGUGCGUAACACGUAUGUAACCUACCUUCAUCAGGGGGAUAGCCUCUCGAAAGAGUGAUUAACACCGCAUAACAUCAUAGAGCAGCAUUGCUUAUUGAUCAAAUAUUUAUAGGAUGAAGAUGGGCAUGCGGGACAUUAGCUAGAUGGUGAGGUAACGGCUCACCAUGGCGACGAUGUCUAGGGGAUCUGAGAGGAUGACCCCCCACACUGGUACUGAGACACGGACCAGACUCCUACGGGAGGCAGCAGUAAGGAAUAUUGGUCAAUGGAGGCAACUCUGAACCAGCCAUGCCGCGUGCAGG